rnacentral:rRNA from 1 species
UACGGGGGGUGCAAGCGUUGUUCGGAAUUACUGGGCGUAAAGGGCUCGUAGGCGGCCAACUAAGUCAGAUGUGAAAUCCCCAGGCUUAACCUGGGAACUGCAUCUGAUACUGGAUGGCUUGAGUCCGGGAGAGGGAUGCAGAAUUCCAGGUGUAGCGGUGAAAUGCGUAGAUAUCUGGAGGAAUACCGGUGGCGAAGGCGGCAUCCUGGACCGGCAUUGACGCUGAGGAGCGAAAGCUAGGGGAGCAAACGGG